GAUGAACGCUGGCGGCGUGCCUAAUACAUGCCAGUCGAGCGAACAGACGAGGAGCUUGCUUCUCUGACGUUAGCGGCGGACGGGUGAGUAACACGUGGAUAACCUACCUAUAAGACUGGGAUAACUUCGGGAAACCGGAGCUAAUACCGGAUAAUAUAUUGAACCGCAUGGUUCAAUAGUGAAAGACGGUUUUGCUGUCACUUAUAGAUGGAUCCGCGCCGCAUUAGCUAGUUGGUAAGGUAACGGCUUACCAAGGCAACGAUGCGUAGCCGACCUGAGGGGGUGAUCGGCCACACUGGAACUGAGACACGGUCCAGACUCCUACGGGAGGCAGCAGUAGGGAAUCUUCCGCAAUGGGCGAAAGCCUGACGGAGCAACGCCGCGUGAGUGAUGAAGGUCUUCGGAUCGUAAAACUCUGUUAUUAGGGAAGAACAAAUGUGUAAGUAACUAUGCACGUCUUGACGGUACCUAAUCAGAAAGCCACGGCUAACUACGUG
rnacentral:rRNA from 1 species